CUCCUGCCAUGGAUUAUGUUGGCUGUUGUAUGUGGAAUUCUUGGCCUCUGUGGAUUUAUCUGCUGCUUCCGGCGCAUAAAGCAGAGGAAUUCGGAUAAUACUGAUGUGGCAGUGGAUGAAAUCCUCUCCAGACCACAGUCAGAGUUGGGUGUGAAAGGCACUAUGGUCCAGGAGCCUGAACAGAAUGAAAUGCUCCACAGAUACAAAACAGAUCAGAGUGUGUGUGCAACAGAAACAGAAGACAUCUAUGAUAAUGACCAUUUUCUACAAACUCAAUUCCACAGACCACAGUCAGAGUUGGGUGUGAAAGGCACUAUGGUCCAGAAUGAAAUGCUCUACAGAAACAAAACAGAUCAGAGUGUGUGUGCAACAGAAACAGAAGAUAUCUAUGAUAAUGACCAUUUUCUACAAACUCAAUCCACAG